GGGUGGGUAGCUCAGCUGGAAGAGCAGCGGUCUCCAAAACCGCCGGUUGCAGGUUCGAAUCCUGUCUCACCUG
rnacentral:tRNA from 1 species